AUUGAACGCUGGCGGCGGGCCUAACACAUGCAAGUAGAGCGGAGUGGCGGACGGGCGGGUAAUGAACAGGAAGCUGCCUUGUAGUGGGGGAUAACAUCCGGAAACGGGAGCUAAUAUCGCAUACUAUUUGCUGCGCCUAGGUCGGAUUAGCUAGUUGGUUGGGUAAAGGCCUACAAAGGCGACGAUCCGUAACUGGUCUGAGAGGCUGAUCAGUAAGACUGGAACUGAGACACGGUCCAGCCUCCUACGGUAGGCAGCAGUGGGGAAUAUUGGACAAUGGGGGAAAGCCUGACCAAGCCAUGCCGCGUGUGUGAAGAAGGUCUUCGGAUUUUAAAGCCCUUUAAGUUGGGAGGCGUUACCAACAGAGUAAGCAACGGCUAACUUCGUGCCAGCAGCCGCGGUAAUUC
rnacentral:rRNA from 1 species